UACGAAGGGGGCUAGCGUUGCUCGGAAUCACUGGGCGUAAAGCGCACGUAGGCGGCUUGUUAAGUCAGGGGUGAAAUCCUGGAGCUCAACUCCAGAACUGCCUUUGAUACUGGCGAGCUUGAGUCCGGGAGAGGUGAGUGGAACUGCGAGUGUAGAGGUGAAAUUCGUAGAUAUUCGCAAGAACACCAGUGGCGAAGGCGGCUCACUGGCCCGGUACUGACGCUGAGGUGCGAAAG
rnacentral:rRNA from 1 species